GACAUGAUGCUCCUGGGAAGAUGCUCUUGAGAGCUGGGUGGGAGCCAGGAGAGCCCUAGUUAGGCACAAGGGCAAUCAGGCGGCAGCAGCCACCAGGAAGACCUGUCUGUCUCUAAAGCCCACUGGAGAACUUCCCAGCUCUGAAAAGCCUCAGAUCCGAUCCAGUAGUAGUCCUGGAAAGUGUUGGAGGUUGGUUGCGUCCCACACCCUAUAUGACCCCCCACGGGACGGAAAUACCCCAUAUUUUAAAAGAACUGAGGAAAAAAAGGUGUUUACUUGUCAGGUGGAGGCGAACGGAUGCUCAGCUGCACUACAUCCACCAUG
rnacentral:other from 1 species